UACGUAGGGUGCAAGCGUUGUCCGGAAUUAUUGGGCGUAAAGAGCUCGUAGGCGGUCUGUCGCGUCGGCUGUGAAAUCCCGAGGCUCAACCUCGGGUCUGCAGUCGAUACGGGCAAACUAGAGUAUUGCAGGGGAGACUGGAAUUCCUGGUGUAGCGGUGAAAUGCGCAGAUAUCAGGAGGAACACCAAUGGCGAAAGCAGGUAACUGGACCAUUACUGACACUCAGCUGCGAAAGCUAGGGGAGCAAACAGG
rnacentral:rRNA from 1 species